GACGAACGCUGGCGGCGUGCCUAAUACAUGCAAGUCGAACGCUGAAGAGAGGAGCUUGCUCUUCUUGGAUGAGUUGCGAACGGGUGAGUAACGCGUAGGUAACCUGCCUUGUAGCGGGGGAUAACUAUUGGAAACGAUAGCUAAUACCGCAUAACAAUGGAUGACACAUGUCAUUUAUUUGAAAGGGGCAAUUGCUCCACUACAAGAUGGACCUGCGUUGUAUUAGCUAGUAGGUGAGGUAAUGGCUCACCUAGGCGACGAUACAUAGCCGACCUGAGAGGGUGAUCGGCCACACUGGGACUGAGACACGGCCCAGACUCCUACGGGAGGCAGCAGUAGGGAAUCUUCGGCAAUGGGGGCAACCCUGACCGAGCAACGCCGCGUGAGUGAAGAAGGGUUUCGGAUCGUAAAGCUCUGUUGUAAGUCAAGGACGGGUGUGAGAGUGGAAAGUUCACACUGUGACGGUAGCUUACCAGAAAGGGACGGCUAACUACGUG
rnacentral:rRNA from 1 species